CCUACGGGUGGCAGCAGUGAGGAAUAUUGGUCAAUGGGCGCGAGCCUGAACCAGCCAAGCCGCGUGCAGGAAGACGGCUCUAUGGGUUGUAAACUGCUUUUGUACGAGGGUAAACUCAGAUACGCGUAUCUGUCUGAAUGUAUCGUACGAAUAAGGAUCGGCUAACUCCGUGCCAGCAGCCGCGGUAAUACGGAGGAUCCGAGCGUUAUCCGGAUUUAUUGGGUUUAAAGGGUGCGUAGGCGGUCUGAUAAGUUAGAGGUGAAAUUCCGUGGCUCAACUCCGGAAUUGCCUCUGAUACUGUUGGGCUAGAGAGUGGUUGCGGUAGGCGGAAUGCGUGGUGUAGCGGUGAAAUGCUUAGAUAUCAUGCAGAACACCGAUUGCGAAGGCAGCUUACCAAGCUACGUCUGACGUUGAUGCACGAAAGCGUGGGGAUCAAACAGGAUUAGAUACCCGUGUAGUC
rnacentral:rRNA from 1 species